AGUUGUAUAAUGUCCAUCAAAGUACCAUGUGUGCACACACACGUUUCGUGGCUUCUUUUGAUAUUAAAAUAAAAAGAACUUUAACAUUUAUAUUUUUUUCCACUAAGUUUGCAAUUAUUUCUAAUUUAGGACAUGUACAGAUGAGCAUUAGAUACUUAUUAAGAACAGUUGGUUUUAAGACUAGCAGUGGAGUCUUAAGGAAAAAAAAACGUAGUAAAACGUAGAUCUAAAUGUUAGCUGAUAGAAAUUAUAAUAAACUUGUUCAAUUAAACAUCUUAUUUUUACAUUAUUGUAAAAUUUAGUUUACUUAAAAUUUUCUGUUUUACUUGCUUUCUGUGUGUCUUGCUUGUUGUGUUUACUCUUCUCUCCUUUCUUUAUAUUUUUCUAAAAACUCAGACACUAACCAUACUGUUAGCAUUAUUUGAAGAUGCUCUUCUUUUUAAAUAAUGACACACGCUAAGGACAAGAAUAAGGAAUAGCUGAAAAUAACUGCUUGUAUUUAAAUAUGUUUGGAGGGGGAGUCAUUUUUGGUCUUUAACCUUUCUUCCUCAUAUCUCAUGGAAUUCUUUCUUAAGAGUUUGGUAUUCUUUGAUAAUAGGGAGUAGAAGUGAGAUUUUUAAGUGAAAAUUCCCACCAUCCCAUUCUAUUACAUAUCUGAAUUCAGAACACUCCAGCCUGGGCCAAAAUUAAGAAUGACUGGUUUCACUCUUUACAGAAAUAUAUCUAACACAGGGAAACACAAGAUGCCCUAAUAAGGGUUUAUAAUUAGUCAAUAAAGGAGCCUUCUCCAGAACCAGUAUUUCAAGGUAUCUCUUCCGGUGGUAGCCCCUGAGGUUUUUACACCCCAAGACAGUGCACUUGAGGAAAGAGUGGGGUAGAUAAGGGCUGUGCCUUCCUUUAGCAAAGCGAAGCAGAGAAACGUUGUUGUGCACACAGGCCUACACGCUUGUAAUCCCAGCACUUU
rnacentral:lncRNA from 1 species